rnacentral:rRNA from 2 species
UUAACACAUGCAAGUCGAGGGGUAGCAGGGAGCUUGCUCCGCUGACGACCGGCGAACGGGUGCGUAACGCGUAUGAAAUCUACCUCUUACUAAGGGAUAGCCCAGAGAAAUUUGGAUUAAUAUCUUAUNAGUAUACAGACCUGGCAUCAGGAUUGUAUUAAGAGGUUACGGUAAGAGAUGACUAUGCGUCCUAUUAGCUAGAUGGUGUGGUAACGGCACACCAUGGCUACGAUAGGUAGGGGCCCUGAGAGGGGGAUCCCCCACACUGGUACUGAGACACGGACCAGACUCCUACGGGAGGCAGCAGUGAGGAAUAUUGGACAAUGGAGGCAACUCUGAUCCAGCCAUGCCGCGUGCAGGAAGACUGCCCUAUGGGUUGUAAACUGCUUUUAUACAGGAAGAAACACUCUCACGUGUGAGAGCUUGACGGUACUGUAAGAAUAAGGAUCGGCUAACUCCGUGCCAGCAGCCGCGGUAAUACGGAGGAUCCAAGCGUUAUCCGGAAUCAUUGGGUUUAAAGGGUCCGUAGGUGGAUGAUUAAGUCAGAGGUGAAAUCCUGCAGCACAACUGUAGAAUUGCCUUUGAUACUGGUUGUCUUGAGUUAUUAUGAAGUAGUUAGAAUAUGUAGUGUAGCGGUGAAAUGCAUAGAUAUUACAUAGAAUACCAAUUGCGAAGGCAGAUUACUAAUAAUAUACUGACACUGAUGGACGAAAGCGUGGGGAGCGAACAGGAUUAGAUACCCUGGUAGUCCACGCCGUAAACGAUGGUCACUAGCUGUUCGGACUUUGGUUUGAGUGGCUAAGCGAAAGUGAUAAGUGACCCACCUGGGGAGUACGUUCGCAAGAAUGAAACUCAAAGGAAUUGACGGGGGCCCGCACAAGCGGUGGAGCAUGUGGUUUAAUUCGAUGAUACGCGAGGAACCUUACCAGGGCUUAAAUGUAGAUUGACAGGUUUAGAAAUAGACUUUUCUUCGGACAAUUUACAAGGUGCUGCAUGGUUGUCGUCAGCUCGUGCCGUGAGGUGUCAGGUUAAGUCCUAUAACGAGCGCAACCCCUGUUGUUAGUUGCCAGCGAGUCAUGUCGGGAACUCUAACAAGACUGCCAGUGCAAACUGUGAGGAANGUGGGGAUGACGUCAAAUCAUCACGGCCCUUACGUCCUGGGCUACACACGUGCUACAAUGGUAGGGACAGAGAGCAGCACUGGGUGACAGGAGCGAAUCUAUAACCCUAUCACAGUUCGGAUCGGAGU